rnacentral:rRNA from 1 species
UAUUAUAUUAACCGUACGGGGUUAAAGAUGAGCAUGCAUCCGAUUAGCUAGUUGGUGUGGUAACGGCUCACCAAGGCAACGAUCGGUAGGGGGUCUGAGAGGAUGAUCCCCCACACUGGUACUGAGACACGGACCAGACUCCUACGGGAGGCAGCAGUAAGGAAUAUUGGACAAUGGAGGCAACUCUGAUCCAGCCAUGCCGCGUGAAGGAUUAAGGCCCUAUGGGUUGUAAACUUCUUUUAGACGGGACAAAACCCCUUUACGUGUAAAGGGUUGAUGGUACUGUCAGAAUAAGCAUCGGCUAACUUCGUG